GGGAUUGGUCAGAGUGGUGGGAAAAACUAUAGGGAAAGGACGCAAACCUACUGAAAGUUCUCAAGGUUCUGCAGAGCCUCGGGGAAGAAUAACUGAAGGCAGCUAUUCUAUAACCCUGAGGCAGAGGGCAAGAAGUAGGUACCAGGGAGUGUAGGGGAAUUUAUCUUAAACAGGCUCAUCUACUUAUGUUGACCUGGAACUGACCUUUGAUCAUCCGCACACCUGACGUUCCCUGAAAGGGGAACAAUAAAUGUUAAUUACCUACAGUUUGUUUUUGCUCCAGGUUUUUGGCAUUGUGCUUGCACUGAAUAAAAGCAAGCAGCUCCAGCUUCUCCGGGCUGCUCUUUGGACACCAGAGCCAGGCAGUCACCUAGCUGCUCUUACAGUGCAUACCUGUGUCUGAAUGGUCAUUUCAUCCAUCUGCCAGCGUCUGCAGGACAGAGCCAGCAGGUGGUGCCCUGUGUGAGGAAUGCUGCAACAGAUUGUGACAAAACCCUCGAGAAUGAAAGUGAAGUGACUGCGCACCCCGCCGUUACCGAGUAAAGGUGCCACAGAGGAGACAAAUAUUUUCCCUGAGCCCUCUCUCCCAAUAUAUUGGAAAAAAUACAAGGGAUACACUACUGUUAUGGGACCCUGUCUUAGUCAAGUGGAAUUAGAAGGGAGCUCUUGACCUGCCCAGUGAUGCAAGAUCAACAAGACAAUCAGUAAGAAACGUACAAACAUUAAGAAGAGCCUAUUCAGAAAAGACAGUCUUCCAGUUACCUUAUAAAGGCAAGGAAGAACUGGUAGUUUGAAAUAAAAUAAUUUCAAAAAGUGCUGUACCCCCUGAGUAUUCUGCUGUAAUAAGGAUGAAAUCCCAUAAGUCAAUUUUUUCUCGGGAUUGUGAAGUUCACUGCACACAACCAGCCUUAUUUUACAUCUCUUUCUUUUAUUUCAACCAUCUGGGGACUGGGCAGAAGUCAUGGUCAGAGGGGCACAUAUGUAUUGCUUUGAUGAUGGGGGCAGAGAACAAACAGGAAGAACUGGGAAAUGAAAAUUGCUUUACUUCUUAUAUUCUGACUAGAAAGGCAACCCAAAUGGGAAUCAUAACAGGGAUAGUUCAGUGGCAAAAAGACACCCUUAAAAAUAGAAGCUAGAAGUUAAAGGAGGGGUGACAUCACACUUUUAGAGUUGACAUCAGAGGAAGUUGCAUCUCUUGGUGCCAUGUUAUACAUGCACCGUCGGGGCAGCAGAACUGAUUAGUGUGCCCAGUUGCACAAAAGGACUGUAAUGUGCAUGGGCCCCAGUGUUAGCCAUGUGACUCUGUUAAUGGAUCCAGCUUGAUCUUUACGCUCUUCAACUAAGCUAGUGCCCAAGCAGUUCUUGUAUUUCAGCUUAGAGGGGGUUCUGGAAAAGCUCUUGGUGAUAGCAUUUUUGGAGAACGGAGAGAAAAAAACAUUUCUAUUAAGUCUGCCUCAAAAAGUAGGAAUUUCAGGUCAAUGUUAAAUGCCUGGCAUGAGUUUUAUAUAUAUUUUUAAUAUUUCAGGCUUAUUUUACCAAAAGAAAGCUGGUGUAACACGUUCACAUCAGACAAAAUAGGUAUCAAAGCAAAAGGCAUUAGAGAUGAAGAGGAUCACAGCACAGUGGGAAAAGGUUCAGUUCAGAUAUAGGUACAUAUUAUAUAAAGCAAAAAUACACAGAAACAAAAGGAAAAUAAUUCGAUAUUUAAAGAUAUUAGGUUAAGUGAAAUUUUUAUAAGUCUUGAAAACAAAUCAGAAACAGGUGAGACACAGGAAAAUCAUUUUUAGCAACAAAGUACUAAGAGGGUGCAUGGACAAGGAAAACUUUUCCCUCCCUAAGCCCAUACCUCUAGUUGAUAAUCUGUUCCCAUCCCCAGGUCCCAGCAAACAUUCUAAGACCCAAGAACAGGUUUACUGGGAGGAAUUCGAGGCACUGCAGUUCAUGUGCUGAGUUAAAUAAGCUCUGGAAAUAGAAGCUGAAGAAUCACAAUACCCAAUCUAAUUUAACCAAAGUCUAAUUAGAGAAUUUACCAGAAAUUGAGAGACUUGCUAGACAUAAUUUCCUGUUAGGAAGUAGUAUUUUUCUCCUUUCAAAUUUUUAAAUGUUUGGUAUAAUCAGCAAAAUAGAAGUAAAUUAUCAAUUUAAGCUUAACAGAGAUAUUUUGUUAAGUAAUAUCACAGUACCUUAUAAAUAAAAAAUAUUAAUUAUUUCCAGUUAGUCACACGUAUUAUUACUAAUAAUGAGUAAAUACAAAAAUAUACACUCAAACAGAAAGAGCCAAACUGGCUCCCAUAAUAAUAGUAGGUAUUUUCCUAAGCCUUGUACACAGUAAUAAAUAAAUAAAUCUGCCACAUCUUUACCAUUCUUUAAAUGACAAGCUGGGUUUUGAUGAAUUCCACUUUUUCAGUCAAAAAUCAUAUUCAUGAUUUAAAUUGUGCUGUAUGAAAUUGUCCCUUUUAUUUCUGUAUAUUCUCAGAUGAGAUGCAUACAUAUUGGUUCAAGACCUCUUGUUGCCUCUUUUUAACAUUGUCUUUGUAUCACUCGCAGCCCCCAAACAACAGGUUAAAACCAGCCCAACUGGUUAGUAAGAUUGAUUGAGAAAAAAGAAAAAGAAAAAAGUCAAAAUAGUUUAUACAAUAAAACUAUUAGGAGACUAUGAAAAGUUCGCUAAUGCAUUCAAUAGAACCUGAAAAAGAGCUAAAUAUGUACCUGCAACAGAGAGGAGGAGACUGACUGGCAGGAGACCUUGCAACAUGCUGGGUGAUUCCAGGAGCACGGUGUCUGCUCUUCUCGCUCAGUAUCCAGGGAUGCAGUGAAGAGCUGUCCUCAUGUGGAACAGAGCCAGCCCCAUGGACUUCCUGGGAAAGGUAAAUGAGCCUACUGGAUUCUGGGGACCAGUGCUAGCAAACAUGCUAGUCCAAAUUUAUAAACCACAUUUUGGUCAUAUCCAGCAUUAACAAUUACAAGGGGGCUAUUUUAGUCUUUAUUUUCCUUGUCUGCUUUCUCAGAUGGCUCAGCGAUAUAGUGAGGAAGAUGAAUAUUUUUAAUUGCCUUAUCUUAAAGACAAACAAGAAGGGGUAGGAAGGAAGGAGAGCUGGGGCUACUUAUUCCUCUUUUGGGAGGUAACAGAUGUUGGGCUCUAAAUAAUGAGAACCUAAACGUGAAAAAACAUGGGAAGAGCAUUUCAGGUAGAGGGAACAGAAAAUGCAAAAGGAUGAGGCUGAAGCACAUUCAACAUGUCCAAGAACAAAACACGAAUCCAUGUGGCUGGAGUGACUGAAGGAGAAGAGUCAGUGGGAGAUGUGGGGAAAGACGGUAAGAAUGUUGAGCCUAAAAGUGGCUUAUUUCAAGUGCAAUGGAACACCCUUGGUGGAACUUCAGCACAUUUCUAAAAUUUAUCUACAG
rnacentral:lncRNA from 1 species